UCUCCGUUGGUGAACCAGCGGAGGGAUCAUUAAAGGAACUCGCAAGACUCCUAACCCACUGUGAACCUACCCGACGUUGACUCGGCGGGCGCCCGGCCUCGCGCCGGGCACCAAGCCCGCCGGCGGCCCCCUACUCUGUCUCUGCAGCGUUGUGGCUCCGGGUAUACCAAAACAAGUCAAAACUUUCAACAACGGAUCUCUUGGCUCUA
rnacentral:misc_RNA from 1 species